GUACUUUCAGUUAGAAAAAGAACAAAAUGUUUUGCUUUUCCAACAGUAAUGUGUAGUGUACAGGUUCCUGUAAUAAUGGAAAUAACUUGAAUAUAAUAAUAAUAUUUUUGAUCUGGACAUAGUGGUGUAUGCCUGUAAUUCCGGUGCCAUGGGGAGCUGAGGUAGAAGAAUCCCAAAUUUGAGGCCAGCCUAGGCAAUUUAGUGAGACUGCCCCUCAAAAUAAAAAGGGCUAAGGAUGUAGAUGAGUGGUAGAGUGUCCCUUAGUGAAUCCCCAGUACAACCCAAGGCAGGGGAAAGUAUUUUUUUGUGGGGAGUAAGGCCUGUGGGAUGUAGCUCAAUGGAAGAGUGCUUGCUUAGCAUGCUUGAGACCUUGGGUUUGAUUUCCAGGUGAGGGACAAGAGGGAAGGUGCUAAUCCUGGGUAUAUAUUAAUUAGCCAGUAACACUACAUAAUCUCACAGUUUGAGGGAGAAGUAGGUUGAUUAUAAUAUAUAUAUUUUAUGUUUUG
rnacentral:lncRNA from 1 species